AACAGCAAAAGGGACUAGUCCCAAAACGCCUAAUCCAAAAUCUGAAACAAGAAAUGGAAACAAAAAACAAAUAAAAAGGGGAAAGACAAAACCCUCCUAUAGUCAAGACACCACUGUCUCUAAAUCUUCCGUCAUCAAUGGUGGACCUCCGUCAACCUCUUCUCGACUCCGGCAGCUAUGGUGGACCUACAUCAAAGAUCCUUGUGCAAAUGAUGAGAUAGGAGUUAGACCUUACUCACUGUGGAACUAGAGACUCAUAUCAUCGAGCUUGGAUAGAGUACAUCAAGACGUUAAAAAUCUCACUAACGCCAUGUAUUCUUGUCCGUUGAAGACUUCUUCAGCUCAAAACAUUGGUCCCUUUCCUGUGUGAGAGAUCUAUCUUCUUUGGAGCUUUCUCCAGAUAUCAGUGCCUUGUAGAAAACCAUUUUCCUUAGAUCUUCGCCUCUUGACAGAUUGAGCUCCGAGGGAACUGAUACCACUGUCUAAGAAGCUAGGAUCUAAAGUCUAUGUAUAUUUGUUAGAGUAUUAGACCAGGUAUAGCAUUGAAUAGAGGUCUAAGAUUAGCUGAACAAGUUGCAUUCCACCACUUAUACACUGUGUCCUUUAUCUGAAGAAAAGGACCUUCUACACCAGCAGCUCUAGUAAAACUACUCCACAUUUGAUUAGCAGCAAGGCAGGAGACAAAGAGGUGUUGAAAACUUUCAUUAGCCAUCUGAUCACAACAGCAACACACCAUCUCCUCCUCAGUUUCAAAUCUGGCUAGGACUUCACCAAUAGGGAUCCUUUUCAUUGCUAAUCUCCAGAAAAAGAAAGAUACUUUAAAAGGUGAGCAACCAGUAAGGAGCUCCUCACUAUUGUCUGACCUGUAUCUGUUAUCAACAUCUUCUAAAUGCAGAUGAGGCUCUUUCUCAAACUCCACCGUAUCUAACACCACAGCAUCCUGCCCUCCCAAGCUGUCUCCAUAACCUAUUUGGUUUCUUGUAUCAAUGUGGAGUCAUUCCCUGUGAUUAACAAAUCAUCUACAUAUACAAGUACAAUCACCAAUGAUGUGCCUUUCCUUUUUGUAAACAAGGAAUAAUCCAGAUGACUCUGAAUGUAGCCUGAUUUAGACAAUGCAUCAGUCAACUUUGCAUUCCAUUGUCUUAAAGCCUGCUUAAGUCCAUAUAAUGACUUAAAAAGCCUACAUUCCCUUUUAUUGAAUCCCUUAGGCAAAUCCAUGUACACUUCUUCAACCAAAUCUCCUUGCAAGAAUACAUUAAAAACAUCCAUUUGAUAAAUCAUCUAGUUCUCUGCUGCUGCAACAACAAUAAUGGUCCUAACCGUCACCAUUUUUACCACUGGUGAUAAAGUCUCCUGAUAAUCAAUUCCGUCAGUCUGGCUAUAGCCUUUUGCUACAAGUCUGGCUUUAUAUCUAUCAAUUUCACCAUUUGCCUUAUACUUGAUCUUAAAAACUCAUUUACACCCUAUGUCAUUCUUUCUGGGAGGAAACUUCAUUACUCUCCAUGUACCAUUGUCUUCCAAUGAACUAAUUUCGUGCUUCAUGGCUUCUACCCAUCUGGGGUCUUUGAUUGCUUCUUCAUAACUACUUGGUUCUGUGUCAGUGGAUAUUCCACUCAAAUAUGCUUGGUAUGUGGGAGAUAAGUGAUUGUUAGGAUGCAUAGUUGGCUAAGGAAUGAGGGUGCAUGGAGGCUGUCAUAAUAGUCACAUAUUCUUUCAUCCAAACAGGUGGAUGAGAUACUCUUGAGGAGGUUCUAGGCCUGACUUCAUGUACAAUAUCUUGACUCACCAAGGAAUCAUUAAUAACAAUUGGAUCAUUGACAACAUCUUGAUUCACCAAGGAAUCAUUCUCAACAUCUUGGUUCAGGUCAUUCAUAAUAUUCUGAUGAUCAAGUGCAUCGUUUGUGGGAACUUCAUUAUCAGUAAUAACUCUUUUCUGAAGCUCUUCAUAUCCAAGUUUAUCUAUCUGUUGAACAAAAUUUGGCAAGUAUUUAUCUUUCAUUUUGCUGAAUGGAAAUACAUGCUCCUUGAAGACAACAUCCCUGUUUAUUAUAAAUUUUUUGAAGGCUCAGAUUAUACAACAAGUACCCCCUUUUGAGUUGGUGAAUACCCUAUCAUGACACAGGCAUCUGCUCUAGAGGAAAACUUAUCAACCUUCACAACUUUGGUGGCAUAACAUAAACAACCCAUGGUUCUCAAAUGAUCAAGGGAUGAUUUAACCUUAUGAAAGAUUUCGUAAGGUGAUUGGCCUUGUAACACCUCAGUAGGCAUUAUGUUGAUCAAGUAUACAACUGUUUCUGCACAUUCUCCCCAAAAUCUAAUAGGAAUGGAUCCCUGAAACCUGAAAGCUCUUGCUACCUCAAGUAUGUGUCUAUGUUUCCUCUCUGCCACCCUAUUUUGUUGAGGGGCAUGAGGACAACUGCUCUCCUGUAUUAUACCCAAAUAAGAGAAUAAUGAAUUGCAAUCUCUAUUAAAAACCUCAGUUUCAUUGUCAGGUCUAAUUCUUCUUACUUAUUUAUCAAAUUGAUUUGAACCAAUGAAAAGAAGGAUUUCAGAACACCAAAUACAUCACUUUUGUAUUUUAUUAGAAACAACCAAGUCAUUCUUGAAUUGUCAUCCACAAUGGUGAGAAAAAAAAUUCUAAAACCAUUAUGUGUAGAAAAUCUAUAUGGUUCCCAUACAUUAAGAUGAAUAAGAUCAAAGAUAUCACCUAUUCUCGACACAUUUACAGGAAAUGGAAGCCUUGUUUGUUUUGCAAAAGGACACACCGGACAAUUUUCACACAAUUUAACAUAUGACUCUUUCUUAACUAAGGACAAUUGUCUUAAAGUUCUUAUAGAUGGAUGACCCAUUCUAUUAUGCCAUACUAUGCAUUGUGAUUCACAUAUCUUUGUCAUUAACACCACCUUUUCAUCAUCAGCAGUUGUGUUUGAAGAAGAGAAUUAACUGGAAAAGUAGUACAACCCAUAUACCUCCUUACCAAUUCCCUUCACUUCUCCAUUGAAGAGGUCCUGAAAAACACAAAAUUCAGGAUCAAAAUGGAUAGAACAUUUGAGUUGUCUAGUCAGCUAAGCCAUUAAAAGUAAGUCGUAUUUGAAAUCAUGUACCACCAAAACAUUUUCUAAUACCCCUGCUGCUGGUAUCACACAACUACCUGAAUGAGUAACUAAAGUAGUUUGCCCAUUAGGAAGAUAUACUUUCUUACCUAUGUUUCUGUCAGAUGAAUUGAUAUGAUCCAAUUUAUCAAGGUGAGAAGUCAUGUGGCAUGUUUCCACAGAGUCAACUAUCCAAUUAUUCCACUAUUUAGUGUGUCAUUCCUAUCAUUCAUGAUAGCCACAUAAUCCUUCCCUCUAGUGGAUGCUGAAAGAAUUUUACCAUAGGAAUUCCCUACCAUGUUGACCAUCUCAGCAGCCUUCUCCUCUUUAUUUAGAAGUUGUACUAUCUUCUGAUAUUGCUUUGAAGUAAAGUUUGGUUGUGCAGCAAGUGUCUGUAGGUUAGUUCGAAUGGAAUUAAGGUCAUAAGGAUCAUGUGUAGACUUCUGUCCUAUCUCAACUAGUCCAAACACAUCUGCAGUCUCAUCUUCUCUAGAAACCUGUACAUUAUUUGCAAUGCCUCUUCCUCUAGUUACAUUGAUACCUCUAGUCGAGUUUGUGAAGUUUUGCUCAUUAUGUUACCCUGCUGGCUUCCUUUUAAACUUCCAGUCUUCUAGAUAUCAAACCAGUUUGAAACACACCUUUUGAGCGUGGCGAUGCAUCUUACAAUGAUCACAAAAUAGAUUCUGAUUCACCUUCUUCUUAGCAUUAUAGUAUCCUCUACCGGUGUUCAUGGAUGAUUCAGACCUAUCACCAUCAGUUCAAUUAUAGGUUCCUCUCCCUGCAAGCAGUGUUGUGUUAUCCACCAUAUCUUCUCUAGUACGCAUCGUCGAGGUAAUUCUCUGACUCUCAUCUGACAUUAUGAUUGCAUACACCUUGCUUACACUUGCUAAUGGACUCAACAUUAAGAUUUGACUACGUGCAUGCCCAUACGUCUCAUUCAAUCCCAUUAGAAAAGAAAACAAUCAAAGAUAAUGUACAUGAUCCAUAUACAUUCUAGAUCUUUCGCAAUUACAUGCUGGAGGGGGUACAAGAGCAUCAAAUUCAUCCUAAAGCAAUCAUAACUUCGAAAAAUAAGCUGGAACAGACAUGUUACCUUGAUUUAUCGUGCAAAUUUCCCUGUGAAGCUGAUAUGUCCUUGAACCAUCAACUUUAUUAAAUUGCUCCUUCAGAUCUGCCCAUACCAUUACAGCAUCUGAAACAUAAACAAUUCCACUCAAUAAUUUUUUUGAGACUCUGUUCAUAAUCCAGGCGAGCAGAAAUGCAUUGCAUUUCUCCCAUUGCUCCUCCAAUUUCGGUGCAUAAUCUUUUUUUCUGCAUGUUCCGAGUACAAAACCGAUCUUACUAUUUGCCCUAAGAGUGAUUAACAUGUAUCUACUCCAUAAUGCAUAAUUCUCUGCUCUAGUGAGUUGACCCGAGGUUAAAGCACAGCCUGGAGUGUCCGAUGGAUGGAGGUAAAGAGGAUGAUUCCUCUUUGAUUCAAUUACUUAAAGUGUCUUUAUUGUAACAGUUGCAGCUGCUACUUCUUCAAUUGCAGAAGGCAUUGUCAGCUAUCAAAACUCUAUGUUUCUUCAAUGGGGGUUUUCAGGAUCGAUUGCAGUGAAUCAAACAAUUAUCAAUUCAAUGCUCUGAUACCAUGAUGAAUUUAGGAAGAGAGAAGAGAGAAUUGGGAAAUUUUGUAUUUCACAUUAAAAAUGUGUUUAAAAAAUGAAAGAGCUCCUAUAUAUACAAUUGUACUAGUUACUAACUACUUCUAAUCUUCUAGAAUUGUGUAACAAACUUAACCGACUAUAAUGACGACAAGUAGAGUUAAUUAACCCUCAACUAACUUUGUGAACCUAACUAAC